UCGCGAGAUCGCGGCGAGUUUGGCGAGUUUCGCGUGUGUUAAAUCGUGCGACGUGACGUGUGUUCGCGUGGUGUCUCGCGAGAUAUACCGAUGAAUUUAAUUUUCGAGAAGAUCUGAUGGGAUUAGCUAUUGGUGCUCAUGAUGCAAAUAUUCAACAAGCGUGAAAAGUUGAUGACAUUACAAAUAUAGUUAGAAGAAAAUUCAUGCACAUUUAAGAUAUAUAGAGAGACGCAUGAAGCUGUUAAG